GCCGCGGCGAUAGCUCAGUGGGUAAAGCGCCAGGUGAGAAGAUGGCGAUUACUCCGAGAUCUGCGCGGGUUCGAAUCCUGCCUGUGGCA